UACAGAGGGUGCGAGCGUUAAUCGGAAUUACUGGGCGUAAAGCGCGCGUAGGCGGCUUUGCAAGUCGAGUGUGAAAUCCCCAGGCUUAACCUGGGAACUGCAUUCGAGACUGCAUAGCUAGAGUAUGGGAGAGGGAAGUGGAAUUUCAGGUGUAGCGGUGAAAUGCGUAGAUAUCUGAAGGAACAUCAGUGGCGAAAGCGACUUCCUGGACCAAUACUGACGCUCAUGUGCGAAGGCGUGGGGAGCAAACAGG
rnacentral:rRNA from 1 species